CCUACGGGAGGCAGCAGUGGGGAAUAUUGCACAAUGGGGGAAACCCUGAUGCAGCGACGCCGCGUGAGUGAAGAAGUAUCUCGGUACGUAAAGCUCUAUCAGCAGGGAAGAAAAUGACGGUACCUGACUAUGAAGCCCCGGCUAACUUCGUUCCAGCAGCCGCGGUACUACGUAGGGGGCCAGCGUUAUCCGGAUUUACUGGGUGUAAAGGGAGCGUAGACGGCAGCACAAGUCUGGAGUGAAAUUCCGGGGCUUAACCCCGGAACUGCUAUUGACACUGGGCGGCUGGAGUGCAGUAGGGGUAAGCGGAAUUCGUAGUGUAGCGGUGAAAUGCGUAGAUAUUAGGAGGAACACCGAUGGCGAAGGCAGCUUACUGGACUGUAACUGACGUUGAGGCUCGAAAGCGUGGGGAGCAAACAGGAUUAGAUACCCGAGUAGUC
rnacentral:rRNA from 1 species